ACAGCUCCUGCACUGUCAGGCCUGGGGAACAGGGCUCCUCCCUGCCUCUCAGCAGAUCGCUUCAUGCCUAUCAGCCUGCAGCACAUUCCUCGCAUUCUAGGAUUGAGAUACACAGUUUGGUUCUUGUGAGGGCAGCCAGGGCUGGGGAGGAGGGCAGAGAACAUCCCAGAGAUCAAGACUGCUCUUCUUGCUCCCUCCCCGACUGACUUGGCCCACACUGACUGGCCUGCCACCCCUUUACAGUGAUCUCCACCCAGUCUCUCUCUGCAAAGGCCUCCCUUGGCUCUCUGAUAAAGUUGGAGCUGUGGGUGCAGCAUUUCACUUGGACCUAGCAGCAUCAAUGAGCCAGCUCCUCACUGGGGAACAUGCAAACCCCCAGCUGCUGGUGUGCAGGAAAAGAAUCCAGGAGAUCACCUGAUGAAGCCCAGCAUUUUACAGGCAGUGGAGCAGGGGAAUCCAGUUGACACUGUGGCUAAAUUUCAGAAAACCUCCCAUGAGAUCUUGCAAAGGAGAUGGAGAAAAUAUGGCUGAAUGCCAGCAAGAGCAAAGUGGUGAAAGGACCCUGGUGAGAGGCCCAAAGAACAGGAGGUGUGAGCCAAGAGAAGGUCCUGCCAGGCCUAUGUUGCAGGCUAUUUGGAGGCUGAACUUGAGGAAACUUCAGUCUUCAGUCUUAAGGCCUUCAACUGAUUGGAAGGCCCCCAGUCAGCUAGUGGGAAGACCCAUGCACAUUAGAGAGGGUAAUCUGCUUUGUUCACUGUCUACUGAUGUCAAUGUUAAUUAUCUUUAAAAAAAAAUACCUUCAACAUCUAUUUUGUUCUUUGGUCAAACAACUGGCCACCAUAACCUAGCCAAGAGAACACAUGAAAUUAACCAUCACAGAGACCCAUGAGGAUGUGUUGAUACAUUGAAUGUAUGAGAGGAAAAAAAAAAAUCUACUUUAGAGUAGUUCUGAUUUUUUUUAUCUGAACAACUGAAAUAAUUUAAUAAUUAUUGAAAUGUUAAAUGCUAGGAGAAAAGAAGCUUUGUGAAUUGAAACCAGGAGUUUGGUUUUGUAUAUGUAAUAUUUAAUAGUCCUUUAGUAUAUCCAAGCAAAUGUAGACAAAGCAAUCUGGAGUUCAUGGAGAAGUUAAAAGCUGAAGGUAAGUAUUUGGGAGUUGUCACUGUGUAGAGGGUAUGUAAAGUUAGAAGACCAAGCAAGAUCUCUUAAGGCAGAAAGUGGAGGAUAGAAUACAGAGGAUAUAUCAAGAAUGAGCCCUACAAGCACAUUAAUUUUUAUAUGAAUAAGAAAGGAGUAGAAACCAGCAAAAGCGAUAGAGAAAUAGUGGCCAGUGAGACGAUAUGCACCAAGAGCAUAAGAUGGUACAGAAUUCAAGUGAAGAAAGUGUUUCAAGAGCAGAAGGUGAUUAACUAUGUCAAAUGCUGCUAAUAAGUAAGAUGUGCACAGAGAAUUUACCACUGGACAUCUUGGUGGAGCAGUGGAGAUAAAAGCUAGAUUGAGAAAGCUUCAAGAGUAUACGGUAAAAAAAAAAAAAAAGUGGAGCUCCAACCCACCUUCAACUCACCACCAUCACCAUCAUUGCCAUCAUUAUGGAAUACCUGUUAUUCCCUUAAUAUUUGUUUGGUGUUCAGGGGUUACAAGCUCAUAUGGCUACAAGAGCCACGCAGCUGAUAGAAAUGAGUGAACUGGCCAGGAGAUAAGUGGCAGCUGAUCCCACUGUAAUUGCCUAAUGGAUUCUUUCUGCCUGCUGCACAGACAAAACCAGUUCACUGAGACUGGUAUUGCAGCAGAGAAAACCUUUCAUUAAUGUGAGGCCAGCCAUGCAGAACAACCAGGGUUAUCACUCCAGUCAAUCUCCCUGAAGACUCAGAGUUUAGGGUUUUUCAAGGAUAGUUUGGUGGGCAGGCAGGGAGGGGUUGGGUGCUGCUGAUUGGUUGGGGGUGCAAUCAUAGGAAUGUGGAAAAUAGUCCUCAUGCACUGAGUUUGUUUCUAGAUGGGAAACACAGGACAGGUGAAGUCAUGAGUAAUGAGUCUGGGUGGGCUCAGUCAGUUGCCAGAAUGUAAAAGUCUGAAAGACAUCUCAAAAGACCAAUUUUAGGUUCUACAAUAGUGGUGUUACCUACAGAAGCAAUUGGGGAAGUCACAAAUCUUGUGACCUCUGACCACAUGACUCCUGAACAAUAAGGGAUUAUAGAAACUAUAUCUACAUUUUAGCAGAAUUCAGGUCCCUCCCAUAAUCUUAAUCUUAUGGCUUUUCAUUAGCCUUACAAAGGCAGUUUCAGCCCCCAAACAACAAGGGAAUUCGUUUUAGAGAGGGACUGUUAUCAUCCUUGCUUCAAAGUUAGACUACAAACUAAGUUCCUCCCAUGGUUAGCUUGGCCUACACCUAGGGAUGAGCAAAGACAGCCAGCCUGUGAGGCUAGAAGCAAGAUGAAAUCAGUCACAUUAAACUCCUCUCACUGUCAUAAUCUUUGCAAAAGAAGUUUCACUGGUGUCAAGGUUGGGGCAACAACAGGGAGAGGUGUACCUGUGGGGCAUGGAGGGCACUGCUCUGUCUAAGAAGAAGCCCCUGCUAGGCUUUGGGCAUUGAGGAACAUGGUGCAAGACAGGCCUGUGCAACCACACAUUCUCUUUUGUCAUGGAAACCAAAAAUCCAGAUUUGUAAGUGAAGCUUCCUAACGUUUAAAUGUUUAUAAGCUAUAGGAGGCUAAGGCAGGAGAAUUACUUGAGGCUAGGAGUCCAAGACCAGCCUGGGCAACAUAUAAAUACCCUAUCUCUAAGAAAAUGCUAAAAAUAAAUAAAUAAAUAUUUAUAAAUUAUUUCAAAAAAUCUUUCAGAGCACUAUGUGGUCCAAUACCUCAGGACAGACAAACUUGCCUGCAGACCAAAUCCAACCCAAGAGCCACCCACCAGUAUGCCAUUUCAGACAUAAAAUUGAACCUUUUUCUUAGAAAAAUUGUAAUCUAGUUGGAGCAAUCAUAACUUAGGUACUAUAAUUCCAGGGAAAAACUGAAAAGAUCCCAUUAUCAGUUGAAUUGUGUCCCCCUGAAAAAGAUAGGUUGAAGUCCUCACCCUCUGAAUCUGACUUUAUUCAGAAAUAGGCUUGUUGUAGAUAUAAUUAUUUAAGACAAGGUUAUACUAGAGGAGGGUAGGUCCCUAAUCCAAUAUGAUCUUAUAAAAAUGUCCUUAUAAAAAAACAACCUGUGGGCCAGGCGUGGUAGCUCACGCCUGUAAUCCCAGCACUUUGGGAGGCCAAGGCAGGUGGAUCACAAGAUCAGGGGAUCGAGACCAUCCUGGCUAACAUGGCGAAACUCUGCCUCUACUAAAAAUACAAAAAAAAUUAGCCGGGCGUGGUGGCCUGUAGUCCCAGCUACGCGGGAGGCUGAGGCAGGAGAAUGGCGUGAACCCGGGAGGCAGAGCUUGCAGUGAGCCAAGAUCGCGCCACGGCAAUCCAGCCUCCGUGACAGCGCAAGACUCCAUCUCAAAAAAAAAAAAAAACCUGUGAAUAGACAAGGACACACAAGGAGCGCUCCAUGUGACAAUGAAGGCAGAGAUUGGAGUUACGUAGCCACAAACCAAAGAAUACCAAGCAUUGCCUGCAAACCACCAGAAACUAGAAAAAGACAAGGAAAGAUUCCCCCUACAGGUUUCAGGGGGAGUACAGCCAUGCUGAUGCCUUGAUUUUGGACUUCUAGUUUCCAGAACUGUAAGACAAUCCAUUUCUAUUGUUUCAACCCAGUUUGUGGUACUUUGUUAGAGUAGUCCUAGGAAACUAAUACAGAUCCCAUAAGAGACAAGAAUAUGUCAUUUCUCAACAAAUUGUUCAGUGAACAAAUAUUUAUUGAGCACCUUCUACACCUAGGCAUUUAUCUAAGUCUAGAGGAUAAUCAGCAAGGAAAAAAGACAACAUAUCGCCCUCAUGUAGCUUUCACAUUCUAGUGAAAGGAGAAAGGCAAGAAACAUAAUAAAUAAGUAAAUUAUACAGUGUGUUAGAUGGCGGAAAGUGUUAUGGAAAAAAAAAGGGUCUGCCACAGUAGAGGGGCUGCAGUUUUCAGAAGGGCAGAGAGACAGAAGUCAUCACUGAGAAAACGACAACUGAGCAAAGACCGAAAGGACAUGAGGGAAGGAUCCAGGGGCAGCCAGGGGAAAAGCAUGCCAGGAAAAGGGAAGAGCCAGUGCAAAGGCCCUGGGGCAGAAGCGUGCCCAUCAUGAUAGAGGAAGGGCAGAAGAGAGUGUGACUUGAACAUGGUGAGAAAGAGGUAGGAAGCAGACACCUUCAAGGUCAUAAUUAAAGAAAGAAUGAAGAAAGAUCUUCAUUACAAAAGUGUAGGCAGGCUUAAGGCAAACCAGCAAGUAUGAUGACGCACUCCAGGGCUAGAAAUAAAAAGAAACGAUAACAUCCUUAGGCCUGAAGGCACAAAAGGAGAGGUAGCUAGUGGAAUCUAGCAAGAGCUGGCUGCAGCCAGGGCCCAGUGCCAGGGGCUGUGUCUUUGAUAGAGAAACAUAGUUAUGGCCUAGCCAAGGUCAUGAAUGGAAAGGGGCCAGCAGAAUAAAUACUCCAUCUUCUCACCUUCCAUCUUCCCAUGACUGAAUAUAAUUGGAAGCCAAAGAUUGAGAGAGCUUUGUGGAGGAAGCCCAUAGAGGCCAGCCUCCUGGGGGCACAGCACAGGGUAGAGAAGAGUGCAGAGUGGGUUCCAAAGGAUGACUGAAGAUUCGGCAGCAUAGGGAGAUUAGCAGGAGAUGAAGUCAGAGAGGUAACAGGGGCCUGGGUAUGUAGAGCUUGCUAGAUCAUUUUAAGGAUGGUGGCUUUCAUCUGAGUGAAAUGGCAACCAUUGGAGAAUUUUCGGUGGAAGAGUGAUAUGACUUAUGAUUUGAAAGAAUCACUCCAGCUGCUGUGUUGAGAAUAGACAGGGUGGAAAAGGACAAGAGUGAAGCAAGAAGACUGGCAAGAGGCUAUUGCAGUAAUGCAAGCAAAAGUGUGGCUGGACCAGGGGGUUGGCCUAAAGGAAAACAAAACUGAGGCAAACUUAAUAUAAGUAGAGUUUAUUUGAGCCAAGUUUGAGGACUGCAACCCAGAAUUAUAGAUUCAAGUUGCCCUGAAUAUGAGCUUGGAUUAGCCACAAUUACAGGUGGGUUUUUAAAGGAAAAGAAGAAGCAGUUCCUAAGUUAUUUACCAAUAAUUUACAUUAAAAUAACAUAAGCUAUUGAUUGGCUAUACAUUGUUAUUAAAUUCCAGGAAAAUGAAGAUUAUGAGUGAGGCAGCUAGUCAGGAAAAAAAUGCCUUUAAUAACGGACCCAUGGUAUGGGUGCAGGAGACAUUACUGAAGUCCCAUAUUCAUGACUCUGAGCCUGAUAAAUUUUGCAUACCUCGCACAGCUCAGAUUGUUCUGAGCUAUUUUUCUUUUCUUAAAAAUAAUGUUAAACUAAAUUUGGCCUAAGGACGCCUCCAUAUUUGAUUUCUUAUGUUACAAACUAUAACCUAAUUUAGUACAUAAACUAACUGAAACUAACUUGGGUGUAUACUUUUGUAACAAAAGCUGAGUCUCAGCCCAUCACAGCAGCAGAGCUUCAGUCAAUUAAAGGUGGCCAACUGAUCAAACUAUGAUCAAAUAAGGCAAAUACUGAGCUGUAACCAAUCAAGCAGCCUCUGUACCUCACUUCUGUUUUCUGUCUGUAAAUGCUGCCUGCUCAAGUUGCAGCCUGGAGCUCUCUGAAACUGUUCUUGUUCUGGUGGGGGUGGGGCAAGGGUGGGGGUGCCCAAUUUGUGAAUCAUUCUUUGCUCAAUUAAAUGCUCUUAAGUUUAAUUUUUCUAAAGUUUUUUCUUUUAACAGUAGAAGCAGUGGAGGUGAUGAGAAGUGGUGAGAUUCUGGUUUAUUUUGCAGGUUGACGCAGAAUUAACUGUUGCAUGAGAUGUGGGGUAUGAGAGAAGGCCUGAGUACCUAGAAGGAUUGGGAUGCCAUGAACUGACAGAGGUUGUGUAAUAGUGUGAUAUAAUAAGAAAUACAUGGUGGGCAUGGUGGCUCAAGCCUGUAAUCCCAGCACCUUGGCCACCACUGCAGGACCAUUGCUUGAGUUCAGGAGUUUGAGACCAACCUGGACAAUAUAGUGAGACCUCACCUCAAAAAAAAAAAAAGAAGAAGAAGAGGAAAUACAUAUUUGAUCUCUGCCCCUGGUUCUUGAGACAGAGCUCCUAAAACUUUUAUGAUUCCCUAAGUGACAAGAUCACCUGAUGCAGAGCUCCUAAAUCCCUUGGAAUUUCCUGGAGGACAGGAGCAUCUUUUGUUCUAAAGGUCACUCUUGGUGGACUCCUCAAUAGCCUCAUGAUGGGGGCUGGUAGCCAGGGGAAUCAACCGUGUGAUUACAGUAGAACUUUCAAACCCCACUGACCUGACCUCUGGGGAAGAGAGGGGGUGCUAAAGAUGAGCUAAUCACCAAUGGUCAAUGAUUUAAUCAGUCAUGCUACACAAUGAAGCCUCUAUAAAACCCCAAAAGGACAGGGUUCAGAGAGCUUCCUGGUUGAUGAAUCAGUAGAGGUGCUGGGAGGAUGGCACACCUGGAGAGGGCAUGGCACUCUGUGCCCCUUCCCACAUACCUUACAUUAUGCCUCUCUUCCAUCUGGCGUUCAUCCACAUCCUUUUGUAAUAUCCUUUAUAAUAAAUGGGUAAAUGUAAGUCAAGUGUUAGUCUGAGUUCUGUGAGAUGCUCUAACAAAUUAAUCAAACACAAAGAAAGGAUCAUGGGAACCCUUGAUUUAUAGCUAGCUGGUCAGAAAUACAGAUCACAACCAGGGGCUUGUGACUGACACCUGAAGUGGAGGGCAAUUUUGUGGGACUGGGCUCUUAAACCGUGGGAUCUGACACUAUCUUCAGGUAGAUGGUGUCAUAACUGAACUGAAUUAUAGGACACCCAGUUGGUGUCUGCUGGAGAAUUGCUUGGUAUGUGAGGAAAAAAACAGACACAUUUUGGUGAGAAGCAAUAAAAUACUCUACAUGCUGUGUUGAGUGUUGUAUCAUGUGCCCCAGUAGGAAUAACAGCUUGUUUUUCCUAUUGUUACAAUUGGCACUGGAUCUAUCUCAUAUAGGGGACAGGAGGAGGCCUGCCAGGAGAGCAGGCUUGGCUGAGUGGGUAGGUGAGGUGGAACUGUUCACAAGUCUGGUAUUUAGGGGAAAGGUCUCUAUGGAAAAUACAAACUUGGGAACCAUCAGUAUAUAGAUAUAUAUUCGAUAUGAAAAUGAAGUUAACACUUCUCAACAGGAAAAACAAAGUUUUUUGGAGGAG
rnacentral:lncRNA from 1 species